rnacentral:rRNA from 1 species
GACGAACGCUGGCGGCGUGCCUAAUACAUGCAAGUCGAGCGGAGUGAAUAGAAGUGCUUGCACUUCUAUUCACUCAGCGGCGGACGGGUGAGUAACACGUAGGUAACCUGCCUGUAAGACCGGGAUAACUACCGGAAACGGUAGCUAAUACCGGAUAAUUUGCUUCCUCACCUGAGGUGACACUGAAAGGCGGAGCAAUCUGUCACUUAUAGAUGGGCCUGCGGCGCAUUAGCUAGUUGGUGAGGUAACGGCUCACCAAGGCGACGAUGCGUACCCGACCUGAGAGGGUGAACGGCCACACUGGGACUGAGACACGGCCCACACUCCUACGGGAGGCAGCAGUAGGGAAUCUUCCGCAAUGGACGAAAGUCUGACGGAGCAACGCCGCGUGA